GGGACGCUGGUUGGGCACCCGCUUACUGGUGUGGAUUUAGGUCUCCUCGCGUGGCUCUCCUCUGGCGAUGCGUGCAGUUCUUUGGGUCCCUGGGUGGAGUUGUGUUUACGGUUAGGGGAAACCCCUCCUUGGGGAAACCCCUCCGUCACCAGCGCUCUGCAGCCGGGACCCUUCGGGAGGGACACCCCGGCGAGGGGCGUGGAGGAAGGGAGUGCGCUGUGUGGCCGGACGGGGUUGGGCCUGGGGUCCCCGCGGGGAGCCCACUGUGGGUGCCCCUUGUCCAGGGUCUUUUCUAGGAGUCUGGGUCAGUGCCUCACGGCGUUUGGAGACUGGGGAUUCUUGGGUCACACUCACAGACAAGCCUUGAAAAUGGGAGCCGUUAAAUUUUGCUGGAGACAAGGAAUCUUCUGCAGAAAUACAGCUCCCAGCUAGAGUGAGGCCCGAGUACCACCUUGGCCCAGGAUGGCAAGAGAAUCGAGGCAACGCGCAGCCCUGGACGCCCAGUCUACAGAGGACCAGACGAGACUCCUGACCGUGAAGGUGGAGAAGGAGGAAGCCUCCGCCUUAGCAGAAGAGACCUGUUUGCCCGGCAGUCCGGCACCGGGCCGCGAGCGCUCCCGCCAGCGCUUCCGGGGCUUCCGCUACCCAGAGGCUGCAGGGCCCCGCGAGGUGCUGGGCCGGCUCCGGGAGCUCUGCUGGCAGUGGCUGCAGCCUGAGAUGCACAGCAAGGAACAGAUCCUGGAGCUGCUGGUGCUGGAGCAGUUCCUGACCAUCCUGCCGGGGGCGCUGCAGAGCUGGGUGCAGGAGCAGCAUCCAGAGAGUGGGGAGGAGGUGGUGGUUCUGUUGGAGUAUUUGGAGAGGCAGCUGGAUGAGCCGAGGCAGCAGGUCCCAGGUGGUGACCGAGGGCAAGAACUGCUCUAUUGCAAGAUGGCACUGUUGACAGGAGCCCAGGGGUCACAAAGUAGCCAAUUCCAGCCGAUGAAGGCUCUGCUCAAGCAUGAAUCUUUGAGGUCCCAGCCCUUACAAGAAAGAGUUCUCUGGGUUCCUGGUCUUGCCCAGGGUGGAAGCUGCAAAGAAGACACAGUGGUAGCUGCCAGGCUCAUCCCAGAGUCCCAGGGGUUGCUGAAAGUGGAAGAUGUGGACCUGACCCUCUCCCCUGGGUGGCCACAGCUGGACUCAUCUCAGGCAAACCUCUACAGAGACGAGAGGCAGGAGAACUGUGGCAGCCUCAUCUCCCUGGGUGGUGAAAUACAGACUAAGAUCAGCAACUUGCCUCCUGAAGAUGAAAAUCUAGUACGAGAGCCUCGGGAGCUCCCAUGCCACCUGGGUGAAGACAUUGCCAAGAUUCCUCCAUGUGCAGAAGCUGGUGAACAGGAGGCCAGGGUACACAGAAAGCAGAAAAAUGCCACAGGAAGUAGGCGGCACUACUGCCAUGAAUGUGGAAAGAGUUUUGCUCAGAGUUCAGGCCUGAGUAAACACAGGAGAAUCCAUACUGGGGAGAAACCCUAUGAAUGUGAGGAGUGUGGCAAGGCCUUCAUUGGGAGCUCUGCCCUUGUCAUUCAUCAGCGUGUCCACACUGGUGAGAAGCCAUAUGAAUGUGAAGAAUGUGGCAAGGCUUUCAGUCAUAGCUCGGAUCUUAUCAAACACCAGAGAACCCACACUGGGGAGAAGCCCUAUGAGUGUGAUGACUGCGGAAAGACCUUUAGCCAGAGUUGCAGCCUCCUUGAACAUCACAGAAUCCACACUGGGGAGAAGCCCUACCGGUGCGACAUGUGUGGCAAAGCCUUUAGGCGGAGUUCACAUCUGCUGAGACAUCAGAGGAUCCAUGGUGGGGAUAAAAACAUGCAGGAUUCUGAACUUGGAGACACCUGGGAAAGUCAGGGCAGAAUGGAAAACCAGUGGGAAAAUGCUGAGGCUCCCAUAUCUUAUAAAUGUAAUGAGUGUGACAGAAGUUUCACUCGGAAUAGAAGCCUCAUUGAACAUCAAAAAAUUCAUACUGGUGAGAAACCCUAUCAGUGCAAUGCAUGUGGAAAAGGCUUCACCCGAACAUCAUACCUUGUUCAACAUCAGAGAAGCCACGUUGGGAAAAGAAUUCUAUCACAGUGAGCCAUGUAGUACAUGCCAAAGGUGGUGCUCAUUCCCCAUGGGACCGAAGCCACCCUGGAGCUCCUCCUGACUCCAGAAAUUAUCAGCAGAAACAUCACACAUUUUGAAUAAAAGGAACAGAGACGGUACUAAAUGUGAAAAGCAGCCUAUGGAGCCCUAAAUUCUACUGGCAGGAAGCAGAAUGAAAGAAGUAUGCAACAACAAACACAGUUUUCCCAGGUGUUGCCAUCAAGAGGGUAGAGAGACCGGUUAUGUGAGAAGAGAUGGAAACCUCAGAGAUGGCACGAGGCUCCUGAGCUCUCCUCCAACGCCUCCUCCACCCAGGAUCCUGGCCCCUGUGGAGUCCAGGGCUGUUGAAAGGAAUCUUCAUCGCCACAUUGAUGCCUAGACUCUGGGUCAGCUAUCUCUGCCAGCCUUACCGCGCAAACCCCUCCACAGCUACUCAGACUUCAAGAGAGCAGAGCGCAUGCGCCCCCAUAUGGCCACAGGGCUAAGGACGGAAGACCACAGAUUCAUUUCGCCUCCCCACGUGAUUCCCCCUUUUGGUUUUCUCCAUCAUUUUUGUUUCCCACUUGGUCUAUUACUAUCCCAAAGAAGGAAAUAUGGCAAGUAAAGUACUGAAAAUCUAAAUAUCUGAAAACUUCUUUAGGCUACUUUGCCACUUAUAUUUCAUUUACAAUUCUGUGUCGGAAAUAAUUUUCCUCCGAAUCUGGAAGGCAUUUCUUCAAUGUCUUCCAGCUUUCAGAGACAUUGCUUUUUGUUCCCUCUUUUUAUUUUCAGGAUCUCUUCUUUUCCAUCCUCUUUUUGAAAUUUCAUUGUUAUGUAUCUUAGUGUGGAUCUCUUUUCAUCUAAUAAGAAUUUGAUUGGGCAUAUUUAAACUAUAAACUUUUAUCUGUAAUUUGUAAGACACUUAUUUUAAUUAUUUUAAAUCAUUUCCAACUCUCAAUUCUUUUUGAAACUUAUGUUACGAGGUUGUGUUGGAAUUGCUUGAUUUACAGUAUAAGAUUCUUGUAGUUUUCUCUCGUUUGCCAUCAAUUUUCCAUUUUGUACUGCUCUGUCAAAGUGUGACAUGUUGUAAUUCAUCUAUUUUUUUUCAUUUCUAUGAUCAUAUUUUAAUUUCCAAGACCUCUUCAUUGUUUUCUGUUUGUAUUUGACUGUAUUUUUUUAAUUUGUUAUUGUUUCAUAAAUGUCACAUAUUUUCUUACAUCAUUUAGAAAUUAGUGAUAAUAGUGACAGGAGACCUGUGAGGUCUCAUGGUUAUCUGCUUUCAUAAUAUCAUGAACUUUUCCCUCUCAGCACUUAGCUCAGUAGUGAUUUUACAUUUAUCUUUGUAAUUUUUUUUUUUAAUAAAUGCUGGUUAUGUAUUAAAUUGUGUCCUCCAAAAUUAUGUAUUGCCAAUCCUAACCUCUGUGCCUGUGGUUAUAAUUGUAAUUCCUAAAAGAGAAAUUUGUGUCAAUAUGCAAGCACAUUGAAAUUGUCUUUAUUACAUUAAUGAGACAGGAUUAGUGUAUGGUCUAUCUUGAGUCAAUCUCUUACAAAUAUAAAGAGAGCAGAUUAGGAGGCAAGGCCAAGACGGCAGCGUAGACAGAUGCUUCUGGUGAUCCCUCUUACAACAAAGACCUGAAAAGACAAGUGAAACAAUUUUACUUAUGACAAGCUAGGAGCCCUGAACAUCAAAGGCAAAGUUAGAAAAUGGACUGAGCAGCAGGCAGAGGGAGAGACGGUUCAGAAGUGGAGAGUUGCCAGAGCUGAAUCGUCAGAAACCCUCAGGCAGCAUUCCUGAGACUGACUGCAAGGGGUUGGUGGUAGUGUUUGGCCAGAGUUUCCUCAGGGAGAAACUGGCAGCUGCACAGCCUAGUUGCACCUCCAGAACCAGAAAAGAAUGGCACUCUUGGCAAAAGCUAAGUACUUGAGUAUAUUUUACUGUGGCCCCAGCCCCCAAGCCGGUUCCAGUGGCUGUUGAUUUCCCUGGGCCUGAGAUAGGCUCUGCUGAGUGCUCUGAGCCAUUCUCCCAGCCUUGGAGAAGGGAUAAAUUCACAACUGCGGGAAAAGAUAAUCUGCCAGGUCCACUAAACUGUGGACCUGAGGACAGAAGCGGCUCCUGUCAGGCAUAAAGGGUCCAUGGACUUUGAAUACCUCCCCCUCCCGCAUGGACCUGUGUGGGCCUAGUUCAGGAGAAUAAGCCCUUAUUGGCAGACUGCAACUCUUUCAGCUGUAUGGUAGCGAGGUGGGCAUUUGAAAUUUGACACUGCUCUGCCUAUUAAACAGUGUCCUCGGCUACCCACAUCAGGGGCCUAAGGAAUGGUGUCUCCACUCAGGUCACCCAGCCACCUGUGACAGGGGUCCAAGGAAAACGGGUACCUCCCAGUCCUUACAACCAAAAGCAUUGGGUGCCCAUGGUCCAUCUGCAGAACUGACCCACCUGUGUGUUCUAGGGAACAGGGACAUACUUUCCUCAUAGACACUCAGGGGACAGCUGUCAGCCCUCUGCUUUGUUCAGGGUGUGACCCUGCUGCAAUCAGAUACCUAUGCCUACACCAAUCACCCCUGCCCCUCUAAGACUGUAGGACAGAGCCUGUACCACACACUUGAUGACCAACUACCUAGACACCUGAGCUAAAUCCAUACAAGAAAAGUGAAUGGACUCCUAGGCUUAUAUACCUGAUAACAGCUCUAGCCAUCUGGUGACAGGACAUUAGAGCUUCAAACGUGAAAAUAAUCAAGCUGGCCCACUCAAACAAGCUGUUUGAACAUAUCGAAACUAAACAAAGCAAGAAGCUAGGAUACAGUAAGCAAACAUAAAUAAUGCAAUAACUUAUAGAUGGCUCGGAAACAAUGGUCAAUAUCAAAUCACAAAAAGCAUGAUUGCUUCAACAAGCUCUCAAAACAAAGAAUCAAGGGAUCUUCUGGAUGAAGGUGCCUUCCUGGAAUUACCAGAUGCAGAAUACAAAAGAUUAACAUACAGAAUUCUUCAACAUAGCAGGAAGGAGAUCAGGCAAUAUGCAGAACAAGCCAAAGAACAUGAAAAGCAGUUGAAGAAAUUAAAAAGGUUAUUCAAGAACAUAAGGAAAAAUUUAAUAAGCUGCAAGAAUCCAUAGAGAGACAAAAAUCCAUAGAGAGACAGCAAUCAGAAAUUCAGAAGAUUAACAAUAAAAUUAUAGAAUCAGACA